CGGACGAGAAAGACAGGGAAGAGAUAAUAGUAGCAGAAUUUCACAAAAAAAUCAAAGAGGCAUUUGAAGUCUUUGACCAUGAGUCGAAUAAUACAGUGGAUGUGAGAGAGAUUGGAACAAUUAUCAGGUCAUUAGGAUGCUGCCCUACAGAAGGAGAGCUGCAUGAUCUGAUUGCAGAGGAGGAGAAGCCAGGCGUAUCAGGGCCUUGGAUUUCCAGGUAGAGGAAGAAGAACCCACUGGAUACAUUCGAUUCGAAAAAUUUCUUCCGGUGAUGACAGAAAUACUACUAGAAAGAAAAUACAGACCAAUUCCAGAAGAUGUCCUUCUUCGAGCUUUUGAGGUUUUAGAUUCAGCUAAACGUGGGUUUCUUACUAAGGACGAGCUGAUCAAGUAUAUGACUGAAGAAGGUGAGCCUUUUUCUCAAGAGGAAAUGGAAGAAAUGUUGUCUGCUGCAAUUGAUCCAGAAUCAAAUUCAAUUAAUUACAAGGACUAUAUAACAAUGAUGGUGAUAGAUGAAAAUUAAAUGUUCUAAAGAUAAUUUCUGAUUGAAAGAACAAUUUUAGAAAUUGCUUGUUCUCGUUAAUUUCACAUCUUAUCUUAGGAUUCCUAUAUGUGAUAUUUAAUACCUUGUGACAUAACUAUUUUAAGACACUUUGUUUUUAAAGAUGAUCGUAACACUUUAAACCAAAUUUAGUAUGUCUAGCCUUACAGAAUGAUAAAUUACUAUUUAUUUAAAAACUAUUC
rnacentral:sRNA from 1 species